rnacentral:rRNA from 1 species
CCUACGGGAGGCAGCAGUGGGGAAUAUUGCACAAUGGGGGAAACCCUGAUGCAGCGACGCCGCGUGAGGGAAGAAGUAAUUCGUUACGUAAAGCACUAUCAGCGGGGAAGAAAAUGACGGUACCUGAGUAAGAAGCCCCGGAUAACUCCGUGCCAGCAGCCGCGGUAAUACGAAGGGGGAAAGCGUUAGCCGGAUCUACUGGGUGUAAAGGGAGCGGAGACGGUGCGCCAAGACUGGAGUGAAAUGCCGGAGCUUAACUGCGGAACUGCUUUGGUAACUGGCGAACUAGAGUGCGGGAGGGGGAGGUGGAAGUCCUGGUGUAGCAGUGAAAUGCGUAGAUAUUAGGAGGAACACCGGUGGCGAAGGCAGCUUACUGGAACGUAACUGACGUUGAGGCUCGAAAGCGUGGGGAGCAAACAGGAUUAGAUACCCGUGUAGUC